ACUCAAAACAACUCAUUUUCCAUUAUUGUGCGUGAGAGCAGAGAACCAAGGAAAACCUGCUGCCUUCUUCCUCAACAAUCGACCACCCCCCGCCACCUAGAACACCAGAUUUCACAACCAUUCGAACCCCUUCACCUCCCUCUUCAAGCUCUUGUCAUCACCUGGCCACGGAGUUGCCCAAAACAGCCCCAAUCAUCACCCAAAACCGCACUACCAGUCACGAUUUUCACCGUAUUUUCACCGUCGUCGGCCACCGUUUCAAGCGCGGACCACCACCACUCUACACCUGUCAACCAGGCGUAUCCAAUACCACCAUGGGUCACCUACAAUUUUGUCUAGAUUCGAGUGAGCUUGUGAAAGUAGUCCGUGAGUUGUGGCAGAUUUGGUCCCAACAAAAUUGAUGAAAUUUUAUUUAUACAAACAAUCAAUUCUACUUUCCAAACAUCAAGAUGGUAACAAAAACAGCUUGAUAUUGGAUCCAUUUCUAAUUUACAAGUUUCCCUUGAGUUUUGCAACAUUAAGAGGCAGCAAUUACCCGUACACUUGUACUCACCUGCUUGGUAGCCACUUCUCCAUCAUGUACAACCUUCUAAAUAGCAAAUAGCAAAUAGCAAAUAGCGUUAGCAACAUGUAAAAAUAGUAGCUAACCAUAUGCUGCUUCUCCUGAUGAUAAUAAGGUGUUCAGCUUUGUUGUAAUUGUUACCGAAGUGGAUAUGUUACAGUCAUGAUAAAACUAACUUAGUUCAUGUUUAUCGAAGUAUAUAAUUGAUUAUAAUUUGAUAUGUAUUUCGUAUGA